rnacentral:rRNA from 1 species
GAUGAACUCUGGCGGCAUGCUUAACAUAUUCACGUCGACCGGAGAGUGGUGUUUCCCGUCGCGGCGGGGACGGGAACGCGUGAGAAGCUGCCGCCAGGACGCGGACAUGAGCAGGAAACCAAAGCUACUACGCCGUAGGCAGAGGAGCAAGCGGAGCAAGCCGCCCGAGGACGUGCUUGCGUCUGAUUAGCUCGCGGGUGAGGCAAUAGCUUACCAAGGCGAUGAGCCGUCGCUGGUCCGAGAAGACUAUCAGCCACGCUGGUACUGAGACACGGAGCAGGCUGCUACGGGAGGCAGCAGUGGGGAAUUUUUCGCAAUGGGCGAAAGCCUGAAGGAGCAAUGCCGCGUGGAGGUAGAAGGCCCACGGGUCGUGAACUGCUUUUCCCGGAGAAGAAGCAAUGACGGUAUCUGGGGAAUAAGCAUCGGCUAACUCUGUG